UACGAAGGGGGCUAGCGUUGUUCGGAAUCACUGGGCGUAAAGCGCACGCAGGCGGACCGAUAAGUCGGGCGUGAAAGCCCGGGGCUCAACCUCGGGAUUGCCUUCGAUACUGGCGAUCUAGAGUCCGGGAGAGGGGCGUGGAAUUCCUAGUGUAGAGGUGAAAUUCGUAGAUAUUAGGAAGAACACCGGUGGCGAAGGCGGCGACCUGGUCCGUGACUGACGCUGAGGCGCGAAAGCGUGGGGAGCAAACAGG
rnacentral:rRNA from 1 species